rnacentral:rRNA from 1 species
UACGUAGGGGGCAAGCGUUGUCCGGAUUUAUUGGGCGUAAAGCGCGUGUAGGCGGCCAUGUAGGUCUGACGUGAAAUCCCGAGGCUCAACCCUCGGCAGGUCGUUGGAAACCAUAUGGCUAGAGUCCGGAAGAGGAGAGUGGAAUUCCUGGUGUAGCGGUGAAAUGCGCAGAUAUCAGGAAGAACACCGAUGGCGAAGGCAGCUCUCUGGGACGGUACUGACGCUGAGACGCGAAAGCGUGGGGAGCGAACAGG